rnacentral:rRNA from 1 species
UUUUAUUUGAGAGUUUGAUCCUGGCUCAGGAUGAACGCUGGCGGCGUGCCUAACACAUGCAAGUUGAGCGAUUUACUUCGGUAAAGAGCGGCGGACGGGUGAGUAACGCGUGGGUAACCUACCCUGUACACACGGAUAACAUACCGAAAGGUAUGCUAAUACGGGAUAAUAUAUUUGAGAGGCAUCUCUUAAAUAUCAAAGGUGAGCCAGUACAGGAUGGACCCGCGUCUGAUUAGCUAGUUGGUAAGGUAACGGCUUACCAAGGCGA